rnacentral:rRNA from 1 species
UACGGAGGGGACUAGCGUUGUUCGGAAUUACUGGGCGUAAAGCGCACGUAGGCGGAUUUGUAAGUCAGGGGUGAAAUCCCGGGGCUCAACCCCGGAACUGCCUUUGAUACUGCAAAUCUCGAGUCCGGAAGAGGUGAGUGGAAUUCCUAGUGUAGAGGUGAAAUUCGUAGAUAUUAGGAAGAACACCAGUGGCGAAGGCGGCUCACUGGUCCGGUACUGACGCUGAGGUGCGAAAGCGUGGGGAGCGAACAGG